UACGGAGGAUGCGAGCGUUAUCCGGAUUUAUUGGGUUUAAAGGGUGCGUAGGCGGCUUUUUAAGUCAGCGGUGAAAUUUUGCAGCUUAACUGUAACAGUGCCGUUGAUACUGGGGAGCUAGGAUUUGGUUGCUGUGGGUGGAAUGUGUGGUGUAGCGGUGAAAUGCUUAGAGAUCACACAGAAUAUCGAUUGCGAAGGCAGCUCACAAAGCCAAGAUCGACGCUGAGGCACUAAAGUGUGGGGAUCAAACAGGAUUAGA
rnacentral:rRNA from 1 species